rnacentral:rRNA from 1 species
GAUGAACGCUGGCGGCGUGCUUAACACAUGCAAGUCGAACGGAAAGGCCCAAGCUUGCUUGGGUUCUCGAGUGGCGAACGGGUGUGUAACACGUGGGUGAUCUGCCCUGCACUUCGGGAUAAGCCUGGGAAACUGGGUCUAAUACCGGAUAGGACCACUUCUUGGAUGUUGUGGUGGAAAGUUUUUUCGGUGUGGGAUGAGCUCGCGGCCUAUCAGCUUGUUGGUGGGGGAAUGGCCUACCAAGGCGUCGACGGGUAGCCGGCCUGAGAGGGUGUACGGCCACAUUGGGACUGAGAUACGGCCCAGACGCCUACGGGAGGCAGCAGGGGGGAAUAUUGCACAAUGGGCGCAAGCCUGAUGCAGCGACGCCGCGUGGGGGAUGACGGCCUUCGGGUUGUAAACUCCUUUCGCUAGGGACGAAGCGUUUUGUGACGGUACCUGGAGAAGAAGCACCGGCUAACUACGUG